GGUGGUGACACAUCUGGGCCUGGUGGAGGCGCCGCGCUUUGGGGCCACCUUACCCGCAUUGCGUGCCUACCAUUUGCCUGUCCGGCCAGGGCGCUUUCGCGUGGUUUCACUCCACUCUUGCUCUUCGUGCUGUCAGUUAGUGGAACUCAAAAGGUGGAAAGCCCAUGGACAGCGUUAUUUUCCUACUCAUUUCGAGCUUCAACAAGAAAUAAUAAGAGAAACACGUUAGAUUGUAUUAUACAUAUAGAGGGCUGUACCUACUGCAUAUGGAGAUUCCCAGCCUAGAGGUCUAAUUGGAGUUGUAGCUGCUGGCCUAUACCACAGCCACAGCAAUGUGGGAUCCGAGCCGUGUCUGUGCCCUACACCACAGCUCACGGCAACGCUGGAUUCUUAACCCACUGAGUGAGGCCAGGGAUCGAACCUGCAUCUUUUAUGGCUCCUACUCUUUUUGUGGAAAACAGUAAGAGAAAAAUCUACAAUUUUUUGACGUGAAGGUAAAUUUUAUUUGUUUUUGAAUCGAGGUAUAGUUGAUUUACAAUGUUGUGUUAAUUUCUGCUUAGAGCAAAGUGAUUCAGACACACACACACACACACACACACACACACACACACACACACACACACAUUCUUUUCCAUUAUGGUUUAUUCCAGGAUAUCGAAUGUAGUUCCCUGGGCUAUACAGUAGGAUUUUUGUUGUUUAUCCAUUCUAUAUAUAAUAGUACUACAACAAUUUUAGAUGUCAAAUUACCUACAUUUAUGUUACUAUAGAUAUUUUCAGUUUUUCAUUGUUCUUUCUUUUUAAAUCCCUUUGGAUAUUAUUAGAGAAUUUAUGUAUGGUUUUAUCCCUCUAAGGUUUUUAUUUUUCACAAAGAGUGUGAAUUAAUCAGCAAUUGAUUCUGAAUUUUCUCUACUCUUAAUUUUUUACCUUUUGUUACUAUGUGACAGGCUUGAAAUUCAGUAAAACUGUGAUAAAAUGACUAGUUGUAGAUCCUUCAUGAUGGGGAAAUGGCUAUUGAAAAUCUAUACUGCACGCACUUUCUCCAUGAAUCUAACAAGACCUAAAAAUCACCUCUUUAUAAGCAAGUAUUUUAUCUCUGGUGUCUGAGGAAUCUUUGUGAAUACUGUAUCUUUGUUUCUUAGAAACGAGUAAAGAACUAGGCCAGUUUCUUGCUGUGGAAAAAGCUAUUUCCUCCCAGAACAGAAUGUUUAGGGGAGAUAACAGUUUUCAACCUCAAAGCUGUAUGUUCAAAUCGAAGACUUAAUGUCUGGGUCAUUAGAUACGAGCAGAAUCUUAAAGAUAACCUUCCUGAGUUUCAUUCAGGGUAAAAAGAUAAUAUUGGCCUUAAAUUAGAUGAAGAGUAAACUCCCGACCAAUUUUUAAAAACUUAGUAAUAGCUUAUUCUAAUUUUGAUUCAUUCUGUUUCUUUAAUAUCUCAAUGAGACACUUUAAUUCCUUUGAAGUUGUGGGUGACUUUAGCCUGACUAGUAGUUCCCAGGUACUAUAAAAAUGGACCACUAAUCCAGGGCUGGUGUCAGCCUGACCAGUGUGUGGCCAACAGUUUUCUUUCUUCCAGAUGGUCUCACAGGCAGGCCAGCUGGGGUAGUGCCAGCAUCUUCUGAUUGCUAUUGGAAAUGGACCAAACUUCAUCCAUCAGGGGAUCUGAGAAGCAGACUGUUCUCCAUUGUUCAAAUUUUUCUAUUCAAAUUCAUAUUCCCUUAAGGACCAUAUGUCCUUUUGCCUGUCUACAAGUAUUAUGCCUGCUUUUUCAUUCCCUGAAAGGCUUGGUAAUACUUUUUUUGGGGGGGAUAAUGUGUUGGUUCAAAUAGGCUUUUUAUUGUGAAUAGAAGUAGUGAUACAUUUUCCUUGGCCUGGCUUGGUCACACUGUUGUGUUCUCAAUUAUUUUUGUUGUGUAUUUUGGAGAUUUUAAAUUUUUUAAAUGGCUGAAACCCAGAUGCCAACUGUCCCCCAGGACUGCUUCUGUUCUCAUUUCAUACCAGCUUAGACACAUAACUC
rnacentral:lncRNA from 1 species